AGGUGUCUACUAGUGGUAAAGGUCCAGUAGACACCAAACAGGGGUGAGACUGUUUUUUCUCACAUAACCCAACUCUUCCAGUCCACGCCAUGCCUAGCCCAGGACAUUCCCAACAUCCCACAGCCCUGCUAGAGCAGGGACCAUGUUAGAGCAGGGACCUUCUGCAGCUGACCACUGGGGAGUGAUUUCCUCAAGAGUGGAUCUUUGAAGAGAUAUCAGAGGAGUCUCAGAGGAAAAUGUCUACAUGAGAAAACAAGUCAAGCAGAAGACCAUAUGGCAGGACUGUACUCCUCCUGAGUGGAGAAUCCUCUAAUUCUUCUUGUUGCCCAUUUUGCACUUGUAAUAGUUGAAGGCUGCUCAGUCAUGCGAGCCUCCUAAACACUUUUCUGAACACAUGGAAAGGAUCUGAUGAGCACGUGCAUCUGCCGGGUGCGGGUGUGGCUGGACAGCAGAGGCAGCUUUGGAGGAGCAGACACAAACCCUUCAAAGUCACCAACAUAGUCCUCAGAGAAUGUGUCCUGUGAAAGGGCAUUGCUCAUGAACCACAGAGUGUAAUUCCUAUGAUUUCAUGGAUAGUUGGACCCUGUAGGCAAGUCUCAAAGUAUGUCCUUGGAAGCCAAAAUAUAAGAAUGGAUGAAACGGACCGCUGUGAUGUCAUGGAAACCUGGCUGUGGAAACCGUACAGAAACACCAGGAGAUGAAGGGACAAAGUGGUGAAGAAAGCAUCACAGAGAGACUGCUACCAACUGUCUGAGAGAUGCUAGAAAAAUAGCCCUUUUAUUCUCCUAUUUGCAGUGAUAGAAUCUCAUUAUUUGGAAAGUCAUGCUUGCAAUUCUGCAGCUUUUCUAUACCAAUAGCUAAUAAACAACCUGGAAAACAGUCACUCACUCA